rnacentral:rRNA from 1 species
GUCCACGCCCUAAACGAUGUCAACUAGUUGUCGGGAAGCAAUUCCUUGGUAACGCAGCUAACGCGUGAAGUUGACCGCCUGGGGAGUACGGUCGCAAGAUUAAAACUCAAAGGAAUUGACGGGACCCGCACAAGCGGUGGAUGAUGUGGAUUAAUUCGAUGCAACGCGAAAAACCUUACCUACCCUUGACAUGCCCAGAACCCUGAUGAAAGUUGGGGGUGCCCGAAAGGGAAUUGGAACACAGGUGCUGCAUGGCUGUCGU